rnacentral:rRNA from 1 species
GGACGUAGUUUGAAUCACUGGCUCAGGAUGAACGCUAGCUACAGGCUUAACACAUGCAAGUCGAGGGCAGCGCAGUGUAGCAAUACAGUGGGCGGCGACCGGCGCACGGGUGCGUAACGCGUAUCCAACCUUCCCGUUACUCAGGGAUAGCCUUCCGAAAGGGAGAUUAAUACCUGAUGGUGUUUGAAUUCCGCAUGUUAUUCAAACUAAAGAUUCAUCGGUAACGGAUGGGGAUGCGUGACAUUAGAUAGUAGGCGGGGUAACGGCCCACCUAGUCUACGAUGUCUAGGGGUUCUGAGAGGAAGGUCCCCCACACUGGAACUGAGACACGGUCCAGACUCCUACGGGAGGCAGCAGUGAGGAAUAUUGGUCAAUGGUCGGAAGACUGAACCAGCCAAGUAGCGUGAAGGAUGAAGGUUCUAUGGAUUGUAAACUUCUUUUAUACGGGAAUAAAACCUCCCACGUGUGGGAGCUUGUAUGUACCGUAUGAAUAAGCAUCGGCUAACUCCGUG